AGCUCCAAUAGCGUAUAUUAAAGUUGUUGCAGUUAAAAAGCUCGUAGUUGGAUUUCUGGGAGGGUGCCAAUGUCCGCCGACGUGCGUGCGCAGCGGCGCCCUUCCAUCCUUCUGUUAACGCCUCUUGGCAUUCAUUUGCUGGUGGCGGGCUCAGAUAUUUUACCUUGAGAAAAUUAGAGUGUUUCAGGCAGGCUAGGCCGGAAUACAUUAGCAUGGAAUAAUGGAAUAGGACUACGGUCUCUUUGUUGGUUUGAGGGACUGCAGUAAUGAUUAAUAGGGAUAGUUGGGGGCAUUAGUAUUUAAUUGUCAGAGGUGGAAUUCUCAGAUUUGUUAAAGACUAACUUAUGCGAAAGCAUUUGCCAAGGAUGUUUUCAUUA
rnacentral:rRNA from 1 species